GGAUGAUGUUUGCUCAUAUUAUCUCAUGGUCUGGUGUCAUCUGAAAUCUCAGGGCAGAUUGGAAACCCAGGUCCUAAAGAACUCUCACCUAGAGAUUUUAAGCUUCAUACAGAUAUUUCGAAGUUGGAGAAGACUGGGAAGAGGAGAGGUGCUUACCACAAAUGGCCUCUGAUAGACUCCACCAGCAAGGUAUCAAAGCAGAUGCUGAGAUUCAUAGCCAAGCUUUGGGCAGAGUUCAAGGAAUCUUAUGGAAAAACGGGGAAAUAGAAAGACCUGAAGGGGCAGGAGCUCCACAAGGAGACCAACACAGCCAAAAAAUUUGGGGCCCAGGGGGGCCCAGGGGGGCCUGCAGAGACUGAUGCUCCAACCAAGAACCAUGCAUGCAGAGGACCCAGACCCCCUGCUCAGAUGUAGCCCAUAGGCAACUGUGUCUUCAAGUAGGUUCCCCAGUAAGGAGAGCAGGGCUAUCUCUGACAUGGACUCAGUGGCCAGCUCUUUGAUCACCUUCCCCUUGGUGGGGAGGGAGGUAUGCAGCUUUGCCAGGCCACAGAAGAAGAAGAUGCAGCAAAUACUGAGGAGACCU